rnacentral:rRNA from 1 species
GAGUUUGAUCUUGGCUCAGGACGAACGCUGGCGGCGUGCCUAAUACAUGCAAGUCGAGCGAGGGUUUUCGGACCCUAGCGGCGGACGGGUGAGUAACACGUAGGCAACCUGCCUCUCAGACCGGGAUAACAUAGGGAAACUUAUGCUAAUACCGGAUAGGUUUUUGGAUUGCAUGAUCCGAAAAGAAAGAUGGCUUUUGGCUAUCACUGGGAGAUGGGCCUGCGGCGCAUUAGCUAGUUGGUGGGUAACGGCCUACAAGCGACGAUGCGUAGCGACCUGAGAGGGUGACCGGCCACACUGGGACUGAGACACGGCCCAGACUCCUACGGGAGGCAGCAGUAGGGAAUUUUCCACAAUGGACGAAGUCUGAUGGAGCAAGCCGCGUGAACGAUGAAGGUCUUCGGAUUGUAAAGUUCUGUUGUCAGGGACGAACACGUACCGUUCGAAUA